GGGAAUAUUAGAAAUGGACGCAAGUCUGAUCUAGCAACACCGCGUGUGCGAAGAAGGCCUUCGGGUCGUAAAGCACUUUUUGGAAGGAAUAGGAAGGAAUGUACUUCCAGAAUAAGUCUCGGCUAACUACGUGCCAGCAGCCGCGGUAACACGUAGGAGGCAAACGUUAUCCGGAUUUACUGGGCGUAAAGCGCGUGUAGGUGGUACUGUAAGUAGGGCGUGAAAGCUCCUGGCUCAACUGGGAGAGGCCGUUCUAAACUACAGAACUAGAGGAUGGUAGAGGGAGGUGGAAUUCCAGGUGUAGCGGUGGAAUGCGCAGAUAUCUGGAGGAACACCGGUGGCGAAGGCGGCCUCCUGGACCAUUCCUGACACUCAGACGCGAAAGCUAGGGUAGCAAACGG
rnacentral:rRNA from 1 species